UAGGGAAUAUUAGAAAUGGACGAAAGUCUGAUCUAGCAACACCGCGUGUGCGAAGGAGGCCUUCGGGUUGUAAGGCACCUUUUGGAAGGAUUAGGAAGGAAUGUACUUCCAGAAUAAGUCUCGGCUAACUACGUGCCAGCAGCCGCGGUAACACGUAGGAGGCAAACGUUAUCCGGAUUUACUGGGCGUAAAGCGCGUGUAGGUGGUUCUGUAAGUAGGGCGUGAAAGCUCCUGGCUCAACUGGGAGAGGCCGUUCUAAACUGCAGAGCUAGAGGAUGGUAGAGGGAGGUGGAAUUCCGGGUGUAGCGGUGGAAUGCGCAGAUAUCCGGAGGAACACCAGUGGCGAAAGCGGCCUCCUGGACCAUUCCUGACACUCAGACGCGAAAGCUAGGGUAGCAAACGG
rnacentral:rRNA from 1 species